CAAAAUAUAGCUUAAGUAAAGCAUUUUGCUUAC
rnacentral:tRNA from 1 species